GACCACAUAGCUCAGUUGGUAGAGCAUUGGACUAGUAUCCCAAAGGUCGCAGGUUUGAUUCCCACCGUGGUCA
rnacentral:tRNA from 1 species